rnacentral:rRNA from 1 species
AACGAACGCUGGCGGCGUGGAUAAGACAUGCAAGUCGGACGCUUGUAUUUUUGUAGCAAUAUGAGGAUACGGGAGUGGCGAAAGGGUGCGUAACACGUGGGUAAUUUGUCUAAGAGUUCAGGAUAAUUCGCUGAAAGGCGGAGUAAUACUGGAUGUGGAUAUUGACUGGGAACAGUUAAUUUCUAAAGCCGGGGACCGCAAGGCCUGGUGCUCUUUGGUAAGCCCGCGUCCUAUCAGCUAGUUGGUGAGGUAAAGGCUCACCAAGGCGGAGACGGGUAGCUGGUCUGAGAGGACGACCAGCCACACUGGAACUGAGACACGGUCCAGACACCUACGGGUGGCAGCAGUCGAGAAUUUUUCUCAAUGGGGGAAACCCUGAAGGAGCGACGCCGCGUGGGGGAUGAAGGGCUUCGGCUCGUAAACCCCUGUCAUUUGUGAGCAAGUGUUAUUGUUUAAGAGAUGAUGACAUUGAUAGUAGCAAAAGAGGAAGGGACGGCUAACUCUGUG